rnacentral:lncRNA from 1 species
AGAGACAGGGUUUCACCGUGUUAUCUAGAAUGGUCUCGAUCUCCUGACCUCGUGAUCCGCCUGCCUCGGCCUCCCAAAGUGCUGGGAUUACAGGCGUGAGCCACCGCGCCCAGCCUAGGAGCUUUUCUUUUUAAAGUCCAAUGACUGAAAGAGUUUACCAAAAUGGCCUGGUGUCAUCCAGCUUCAUGAUGUGAAUGUCUUUAGAUCUACUACUCUAAGGAGCUGCCCAGAUGAGCUAUGUCCCCUGAGGAUUCUUCUAAUUGUUCUGUGGAAUGUGGAGAUGUCUGUGCAUUACGUGACUAUCUGAAAAUCAGCGAUUUCAGAAUGGUGACUCACAGAUCUGGGAUCGGGGAAAAGGAAAAAAUUGUGAGAAACUAAACAGACGUCACCUUUUUCAUAUUUUUGAGCUUGACUGGAAUCAAGAUUUCACAUGGCACCUCGAGGACAGGAUUAUUAAUAGCCUUUGUGUCAGCCUGAUGGUAAAGCUUUCUCUUUGAAUCCUU